rnacentral:lncRNA from 1 species
UAGCGAUUUGCACGGCUCGCAAAGUAUUCUGUUGGAUAGCUGCACACUGUAAAAUCAUUACAGUAAUUCUCCCUCUCAGUGUGCUUUAUUUCAGUAAUUGAGGUUCUAUGAGAAGAGAAUAAAAUAUCUGCAAACCUUUUACAGUUAUUGGAGACCAUCGAUGGAGCCAAGAGAGGACCUGGGUGAGGGGGAAUUGGAUUUUGCAGUUGCCGGGCCCUCAUGCUUUUUGAAGCCAAGAAAAGCAACCCAGCUGAACAAAUCAGGAACAUGUCCCCUGAGCUGCAGGGUUCCCGGAGACAACCUUUACGCCGCUGAAGUCAGAGGUCGUCCGUUCCAGAGGGAAACAGUGGCGACACCCCAGAGGCGUUCAGUAGACUAA